rnacentral:rRNA from 1 species
UACGGAGGGUGCAAGCGUUAAUCGGAAUUACUGGGCGUAAAGCGUGCGCAGGCGGUUUGUUAAGUCCGCUGUGAAAUCCCCGAGCUCAACUUGGGAAUUGCAGUGGAUACUGGCAAGCUGGAGUAUGGUAGAGGAAGGUGGAAUUCCCGGUGUAGCAGUGAAAUGCGCAGAUAUCAGGAGGAACACCGGUGGCGAAGGCGGUGUCCUGGGCCGAUCCUGACGCUGAGGAGCGAAAGCUGGGGGAGCAAACAGG